rnacentral:rRNA from 1 species
GACGAACGCUGGCGGCGUGCUUAACACAUGCAAGUCGAACGGAAAGGCCCUGCUUUUGUGGGGUGCUCGAGUGGCGAACGGGUGAGUAACACGUGAGUAACCUUCCCUUGACUUUGGGAUAACUUCAGGAAACUGGGGCUAAUACCGGAUAGGAGCUCCUGCUGCAUGGUGGGGGUUGGAAAGUUUCGGCGGUUGGGGAUGGACUCGCGGCUUAUUAGCUUGUUGGUGGGGUAGUGGCUUACCAAGGCUUUGACGGGUAGCCGGCCUGAGAGGGUGACCGGCCACAUUGGGACUGAGAUACGGCCCAGACUCCUACGGGACGCAGCAGUGGGGAAUAUUGCACAAUGGGCGGAAGCCAGAUGCAGCAACGCCGCGUGCGGGAUGACGGCCUUCCGGUUGUAAACCGCUUUCGCCUGUGACGAAGCGUGAGUGACGGUAAUGGGUAAAGAAGCACCGGCUAACUACGUG